UACGUAGGGUGCGAGCGUUAAUCGGAAUUACUGGGCGUAAAGCGUGCGCAGGCGGUUCGUUGUGUCGGUGGUGAAAUCCCCGGGCUUAACCUGGGAAUGGCCAUGGAAACUGGCGAACUGGAGUGCGGCAGAGGGGGGUGGAAUUCCGCGUGUAGCAGUGAAAUGCGUAGAGAUGCGGAGGAACACCGAUGGCGAAGGCAGCCCCCUGGGCUAGCACUGACGCUCAGGCAGGAAAGCGUGGGGAGCAAACAGG
rnacentral:rRNA from 1 species